UACAGAGGUGGCAAGCGUUGUUCGGAAUUACUGGGCGUAAAGGGCGCGUAGGCGGCCCGUCAAGUCCCGUGUGAAAGCCCCCGGCUCAACCGGGGAACGGCGCGGGAAACUAGCAGGCUUGAGUUCGGGAGAGGGAAGCGGAAUUCCGGGUGUAGCGGUGAAAUGCGCAGAUAUCAGGAAGAACACCAAUGGCGAAGGCAGCUCUCUGGGACGGUACUGACGCUGAGACGCGAAAGCGUGGGGAGCGAACAGG
rnacentral:rRNA from 1 species